UGCACUCUAAAAUGAGGCAGGUGGCCAUGU
rnacentral:piRNA from 1 species